rnacentral:rRNA from 1 species
CUCGUGUCGUGAGAUGUUGGGUUAAGUCCCGCAACGAGCGCAACCCUCACUGUUAGUUGCCAGCAUUUAGUUGGGCACUCUAGCGGAACUGCCGGUGCUAAGCCGGAGGAAGGUGGGGAUGACGUCAAGUCCUCAUGGCCCUUACGGGUAGGGCUACACACGUGCUACAAUGGCGCUGACAGAGGGUUAAUCCCUAAAAGGCGUCUCAGUUCGGAUUGUCUUCUGCAACUCGAAGACAUGAAGUUGGAAUCGCUAGUAAUCGUGGAUCAGCAUGCCACGGUGAAUACGUUCCCGGGCCUU